UAAAAUGACAAGAAUACAUAUUUGGAAGUAGAAAUAUGGCUCGUUAUUCUGCAAUUAAGUAAUUGACUAGAUUCUUCAGCACAGGAAAUGAAAAAAAAAUUUACUGUCCCUGAGAAAGAAAUGCAAUCUCUAAACCAAAUUUAAACACUUAACUGCAGCUGUGAAAACCACAGGACACCUGCAUUUGCAUCUGGUUCAGCAAGUUUAGGAUACCAAUUCUUGCAGAACCAUGCUCAGGACCCGAGAUAAAGAAGACAUCAUUGUUGGCUCACAGUCUAGUGGGGGAAACCUAAGACUGAACCAAAGGACAUGAGAGAGCAAUCGAGAUGCAACCCCGACCCAUUACAGAGGGGAUCCUGCCCUCUACCAGCAAGAAGGGAAGGUGGCAGAGACGGCCAGGAAGAACACGCACGGACGAACCGGAGCCCUGGCUUCCCUCCCAGACUAUCACCAUUGGGCCGCACCGCAUUUCUACGAAAGCCAUUCAUGCUUCACCCGCAGCCUCAGCAUAGGAAGCACAGCUCACCCAGCCUGGGUUGCUGGGUCUUCAGCACGAAGGCUUCGGUGUCACCCACAUCUGAUCUGAUACGUCUGUUAUGCCUUUCUCUAGCUGACGCAUCUUUUGACACAAGACU